UACAGAGGGUGCAAGCGUUGUUCGGAAUUAUUGGGCGUAAAGGGCGCGUAGGCGGUGCCACAAGUCACCUGUGAAAUCUCCGGGCUUAACUCGGAGCCUGCAGGCGAAACUGUGGUGCUGGAGUUUGGGAGAGGGAUGCGGAAUUCCAGGUGUAGCGGUGAAAUGCGUAGAUAUCUGGAGGAACACCGGUGGCGAAGGCGGCAUCCUGGACCAAUACUGACGCUGAGGAGCGAAAGCCAGGGGAGCAAACGGG
rnacentral:rRNA from 1 species